rnacentral:rRNA from 1 species
UACAGAGGGUGCGAGCGUUAAUCGGAGUUACUGGGCGUAAAGGGCGCGUAGGCGGUUAUAUAAGUGAGAUGUGAAAUCCCUGGGCUUAACCUAGGAACUGCAUCUCAUACUGUAUGACUGGAGUAUUGUAGAGGGUAGUGGAAUUUCCGGUGUAGCGGUGAAAAUGCGUAGAGAUCGGAAGGAACACCAGUGGCGAAGGCGGCUACCUGGACAAAAUACUGACGCUGAGGGCGCGAGAGCGUGGGGGGAGCAAACAGGGAAUUAGAAAAACCCCU